rnacentral:rRNA from 1 species
GACGAACGCUGGCGGCGUGCCUAAUACAUGCAAGUUGAGCGCUGAAGGUUGGUACUUGUACCGACUGGAUGAGCAGCGAACGGGUGAGUAACGCGUGGGGAAUCUGCCUUUGAGCGGGGGACAACAUUUGGAAACGAAUGCUAAUACCGCAUAAAAACUUUAAACACAAGUUUUAAGUUUGAAAGAUGCAAUUGCAUCACUCAAGGAUGAUCCCGCGUUGUAUUAGCUAGUUGGUGAGGUAAAGGCUCACCAAGGCGAUGAUACAUAGCCGACCUGAGAGGGUGAUCGGCCACAUUGGGACUGAGACACGGCCCAAACUCCUACGGGAGGCAGCAGUAGGGAAUCUUCGGCAAUGGACGAAAGUCUGACCGAGCAACGCCGCGUGAGUGAAGAAGGGUUUCGGAUCGUAAAACUCUGUUGGUAGAGAAGAACGUUGGUGAGAGUGGAAAGCUCAUCAAGUGACGGUAACUACCCAGAAAGGGACGGCUAACUACGUG